rnacentral:rRNA from 1 species
GUGUCAGCCGCCGCGGUAAUACGAAGGGGGCUAGCGUUGUUCGGAAUUACUGGGCGUAAAGCGCACGUAGGCGGAUUGUUAAGUCAGAGGUGAAAUCCCGGAGCUCAACUUCGGAACUGCCUUUGAUACUGGCAAUCUAGAGUCCGGAAGAGGUUAGUGGAAUUCCCAGUGUAGAGGUGAAAUUCGUAGAUAUUGGGAAGAACACCAGUGGCGAAGGCGGCUAACUGGUCCGGUACUGACGCUGAGGUGCGAAAGCGUGGGGAGCAAACAGGAUUAGAUACCCUUGUAGUCC